rnacentral:lncRNA from 10 species
CAAGCUCUGCUGUAGAAAGAGAGCUGGUAGCAAGGCGUCUCUUCACCCUCUGUCCAGUAAUACACACAAGGUGGCUUCAUAUACAAGGCAGCGUGGGAUCUCUGAGGAAGCCCUUAAGAUGGCGCCGAGGCGCUGGAACGGAAGCCCCUUUCCUUGACCAGCUCUCCCCUCCGAAAUAGGGAUUCCAGAAACGCAGGUUCCUGCCUCUCUGCCCGAGGUCUGGCAGAGCAGGUGGUCUCAGUGUGGUUUGAUGGAGGAGCAAAGGCAUUCCAGAUUCAGAACAGCUUCCUGUUCUGCUCACAGCAGCCUCAAAGUCGAUUGAAAGUUUCUGGCAAAAUACAAAUUAUUUCCUGGGAGGAGGUAAGAGAAUGGAUUAAUUUACUUAGUUUCCUAGUUGAGAAUUUCCCAAGGUACUGGGACUCAGAGCAGAUGUGUCAUUAUUGGUGGGGAGGGGAGGUAAAGGAAAGUCUGGCUCGAU